AUUCUGCACCACAACAUCUCAAUCUGAAUCAGUCACACAUCCAUUCGCUGCAUCUUAUCUCAUCAACAAUUUUGGGUUCUCACAUGAAUCUGCUCUCAAAGCUUUCAACCUCAAGCAAGUUCGUUUCAAUACCGCAGAUAAACCUGAUUCAGUCAUCACCUUCUUUCAAAAUCAUGGCUUUUCACACGACAACAUACGCAUCAUGAUCAGAAGAGCACCAUGGUUACUUUCAUCACAACCCCACAAAAGGUUUUUGCCAAAGUUUCAAUUUUUUCUAUCCAAUGCUGCUUCUUCCUCUGAUAUUGUUCCAUUGUUAACUACAAACCCUAGAAUUUUACGAAGUAGCCUGGACUUGGAGAAACAAAUAAUCCCUCUUUUUGAAUUAUUAAGUAGGUUCUUGAAAACCAACAAGGAUAUCAUUCUUUGCUUAAUUCGAUAUUGGACUGCAUUUGCUACUAAUCCCUAUCACCUUAUUGUGUCUAAUAUCAAUUUGAUGUCUGAUUUUGGAGUUUCUGAUAAUGUUAUUGGUAGUUUGCUUCAGUCAAGGCCGUCUAUAUUUGGUUCAAAGGAUUUGAUUAAGUCAUUGGAGGAAGUUAAGGAUUUAGGGUUUCAUCCUUCAAUGACUAAUUUUGGGACUGCUUUGAUGGCCAAGAAAUGUAUGAGUAAAAAACUUUGGGAUGAGAAAAUUGAUACCUUUAAGAAAUGGGGUUGGUCUGAUGAGGCUAUUAUUCGAGCAUUUAGAUGUCGGCCUGAAUUGUUGUUGGCUUCAAUUGAUAAGAUUAAUUUGGUGAUGAGUUUCUGGGUCAACCAAUUGGGUUGGAAUUCCUUGGCACUUACUAAAAGGCCACAUAUUUUUAGUUACAGUUUGGAUAAAAGGAUCACUCCAAGGGCCUCAGUUUUGCAAUUUCUUUUAAUGAAAGGUUUGCAAAAAAAGAAUGCUAGCUUAGUUACACCUUUGAGUUAUUCUGAAAAUUUGUUUUUGCAGAAGUUUGUUUUCAGCUUUAAGGUGGACUCCGAUUAUCUAUUAAAGUUAUACGAGGAAACAAUGAAAAUUGCAUACCCAAUGGAAAACAAUGGCAUGCCAUUCACUAAUUAGGUAAUUUCAUAAUCUCUUUUGCAAUGUAGCCUCAGCUUGUUAGUCAUAAAAUGCUAGUGCUUAUUCUUUUUAGGCCAAGAUAGAGGAUGAUCUAGCUGACUUGUUUUAUUUGCUAACCUGGACCAGAGUACCUUAUGAUUUAUCAUAUGCCUCAUAUCUAGUUGAUAAAGAAAAACACGAAUGGUCUUGUAUUUAUUUAGUCAGGGAAUGUUUACUCAUGGUGUUAUUUUCCUUCCAUGUUUGUUCAAUCAUGAAUCCAUAGAAAUAUAAACAAAUUAUGUAUGCAAUUCUGCUCAAUUAAAUGAUCGAAACUUUAAGCUUGAGAUUAUUCAGUACUUUGCCUAUUUGCUUUUUAUGUGGUUCUCUACACAUCAUCUUUAUAAGGAUUUUUCUAUUAUCACUCAUACAACUUUAUUAAAUAGUUUGCGACCUUCUUUAAGCUUGAAGUUGUUUCCUGAAAUGUUUAGAGAACAUUUUGAGCAUGAGGCUUCUUAUCUUUUAAAGUUGUAUGAGAAAAAACACAAUCAUGUAUACACCACGGACUAAACAUGCAUGUCAUGAUUAUAUUUUCAGGUAUUUUAGCCUUUAUAUGUUGCUGUUGUCCCUGAUUCGAAUUGAAUUCAUGUUUAGUAGUUAGUACAAAAUAUGUAGGAGCUAGAUUAACCAACUUUAUUUUGUUUUCUUAUUUGGACAAAUGUUUGAGGGGUAACCUUGGCGCAACUGGUAAAGUUGUUGUCAUGUGACUGAAAGGUCACGGGUUCAAGUCCUGGAAACAGCCUCUUGUAUAAAAAACAGGGUAAGGCUACGUACAAUACACCAAUAAUGGUGGGACCCCUUCCCGGACCCUGCGUAUGCGGGAGCUUUAGUGCACCGGGUUGCCCUUUAUUUGGACAAAUGUUUGUUUGUUGUCAUUGAUAUUUUUCAAAAUUGGGUUGUGUAUUGAUUCAUGCUCCCAACCCCACUUAGUGGGAUAAUGCUUGGUUGUUGUUGUUGUUGUGUUGUAUAUCAGUCUUCAUAAUACCAUAUAAUAUUGCUACAGGUAAAAGUUGAAAUUUUCUUGUAUUUGUAGGCAUGAAACUCUGUGUAAUGAAAGUGUAAUUAGGGUUGUGGUGCAAUUGUUAAGACUUCUCAAACUUCAAUAUUGAAUGUACAAUUGUUGUUGUUGAUUACAUUUAUUUAAUACACUUGGCAGUUAGCUUUAUGCCAAAGUUAGGUCAGGUCAUACAUAAAACUUUAUUUUGUCACAUUUUGGUUUUAUUUGCACCUUUUGGCCAACUAUUAUGGAUUAAAAUACAUUGGCAUUUUGUCAAUGUUCUGUAUUUUAUGUGAGUACAUUAUGUGUUUGACACCACACAUGCUUGAGCACCUUGUUUCUCUGGCAAAAUUUUGUAAUAUCCUUCCUAAAACCUUUACAUGAUUUGUUGAAAAUUGCAACAGUUUCAGUUUUUGCAUCUUCACACAAUCUAAUUUUGUCUUGGAUGCUUCUAGUCUUCAAUUGUUAGAGCUAAAAUGAUAACAUGUUCUUGCUGUUGAUUUAAAUUUCUUACAUUUUAUUAAUUUCUUAUUUUUUUUUAAGAGACAUCUUCAGUUGUUUUAUAUGUGCUCGGUUAUUGUAAAUGAGCUAUCCCUCUUUGCCCUCUAACUAAGCAACUUCUAUAUUAUUCUUAUCUUGUUUAUAGUUUGUGUUAGACUGUUAGUCAUGCCCUAUGCCCUCUUUUGUUGUCUUACUAAUCUUAAAAUCUAUGAUUCAUUUGUUUUUUACGACUGAAAUUCUUAGUCGAGUUUAUAAACUUGUUCUCACUUAUAUUUCAAGCUAUAAUCUUUAUCCACGGCCGUUGCAGUCGCCAUUGCUGAUUUUUUGAUCUAUUUGUAGGUACUAUGGUUGUAACAAUCAAUGUUACCUAUUGCUUUGCUACAUUGUUAUCAGUUUUCAACUACCACUUUUCCUCUAUAAUCAAGCAGCAGCUUUGCAGAAAUUAGUGUCAAGUUGUUGUAUGGCAGAGACGAGUAUCAAACGUCCGUGAUUAUAAUUUGAUGACCAUUCUUGAUUCUAAAAUCUAGCUAGGUAUUGAUUCUUUCAGCAACCAUUUUUUGCAUUGGAGCCAACUGAUAUGUUAAUUUAGAAAAUAGUUUUCACAGAAUGCUAAUAUGCCGCAUUUCCAUACACUGAAAUUUGUUGUAACUCGUAGAAAAGCGGUCACAGAUCCAACAUAAAUACUUCUUCAGUGAACCUUUAAAAUCACGGCACAAAGCCAUAUGAACGUGUGUUUUCUUAUACCACCGCCAAACUAAACAAUGACCAAGUGUAUGUUUGAUUUUGCGGUAAGAAAAAUUGAGUUUGAGUGAAUUGAUUCUUACUAAAUGUGUGUUUGGUUAUGCGGUGAAGAAAAUUGAUUUUGGUUGAAUUUAAAAGUGAGUUGAAUGAAAAGUGAUUUGUGUUUGGAUACCUUUACAAUAAAAGUGAUUUGUAUUGUUUGGGUAUUUCGUGUCAAAAUUGUUUUUGGUUGUGUAAAUGACCAAAAUAGAUUUCUCAUAUGUGUGCAUUUAAAAAAUAUUUCAUUUAUUUUAUUUGUUACAAAUUUCAUUUACAUCUUUAGUUAGUUAUUUAAUUUUAUGUUUCAUCAUUAAAUUUAUUACAAUUGUGUAAAUAUUAUUAAAAAAAACUUUAUACGAAAUUUUUUUUAUCAAAAGAACUAUCCGAGUAAUUGACUAUUAAGAUUCAUAUUAUUAUUUUAUAAAAUUUAAAAUUAUUGGGUUUUAAGGAAGGCUUUCAGAUGGGCCUCAGUGGAACAAGAAAGCACCGUUUCUUCCCAAUAACAGUGUCUUUCCUCUUCUUCAACCUUUGUCCUUGAAAUUUCUGCAACACAAAAAUAGUACCUUCACAACAACAACAAAAAAUCAUGCAUACCAGCACAAUGAGAUGGAGUAGCGGGUUUCUCAAGGGAUUUGUCAAAUUUAAAAAAGUAUAUAAAAGAAACUGAUGAGAUUUGCGAGCAAAAGAGACAAUGGGAUGAUAUGUACUUCUGCGGUGGAAAGAAUCAAUUUCAAGAAGUUAGAGAGAGCAGCUUCUUUAAAAAUAGAUUAUGAAGAGGAAAAUGUGCGACGACGGUGAAGUGUUGGUGGAGAACCAAACAAGUCGGAAUCGCGUUUGAUGGGUAGGACGUGCGUUUAACCGUUCACACCGUGUAACCAAACAGGGACUAAAAUUGAGUUGAAAAUAAAAUGAUUUAUGUUUAGAUACAUUCAUAAAUAGGGAACUUCUACGGUACACCCGCAAAUUACGGUGUAUCGAUACUCUCGCUUACAAUUUUUAUAAUUUAACUAUCAUUUUUUAUGAAGAAAAUAGGUGUUUGUUAACAUAUAUAUUUUAGAAAAUAUCAUUUUAUAAGAUAAAACAUCAUUUCAUUUUUUUUAUAAAAAUCAUACUAAAUUUUUUUUACAUUGGAAAAAAUAAUCAAAAUUCUCUAUUAUGAAUAAUAAGAAUUCAGAAAAAUCAAAUUUUAUUGCGUUGACAUUUUUGGUAAAUAAGAUUUAGUUAUUAUAAUUAUAGGUGAUAGAAAAUAAUUUUUUCCUACAAAAAAUAACUCAUUUAACUAUUAAUUUAAGGAUUUGGUGUACCAAUACAUUUAAAUUGUUGGGUGUACCAUAGAAUUUGCCUCAUAAAUAUGUGAGUUGAACAAUAAAUAUGAACCUAGAUGCGUUAAAAAAAUUGGAUUUUUUUUUUUAUGUCCAACACGCAUCAUAAAGAGACUCUCCAUCUUUUUGAUUUCGUCCUCAUUAAAAAAAUUGGAUUUUUUUUAUGUCUAAUAUGCUAUUGGUUAAAAUUCAUGAAUAAGUGUGGGUUCGAAGCUAGACCCCUAGUAAUAAUAAUACAAGAGGAAAACAAAAAAAAAAACACGUGAAAACAUUUUAAGCCUAUAUUUAUUUUUUGUGUGAAAGAUAAGCUUAUAUUCUAUUGUGUGUUGAGAACCUUACGGAUUAGAACACUUAUGUCUCAUCUCAUUCUCACUACAUUCCGAACCAUGUUGAAGAAAUGGUUUCUUUCCAACAAUGCUGUUUUAUGUUUCAUCACAACAAAAUCAACAACCCCAAAAUUCAACAACCCUCUUUUGCACCAAUUCCCAAUUUCACCCAGACGUUUCUGCACCAUAACAGCCACUUCAGAAUCAAACACACAUCCAUUCUCUGUAUCAUACCUCAUCAACAAUUUUGGAUUCUCACAUGAAUCUGCUCUCAAAGCUUUCAACAACAAGCAGGUUCGUUUCAAUACCCCAGAUAAUGCUGAUUCUGUUAUCACCUUCUUUCAAAACCAUGGUUUUCCAAACUCCAACAUACGCAUCAUCAUCCAAAAGGCACCUUGGUUACUUUCAUCACAACCCCACAAAAGGUUAUUGCCAAAGUUUCAAUUUUUUCUAUCCAAUGGUGCUUCUUUAUCUGAUAUUGUUCCAUUGUUAACUACAAACCCUCGAAUUUUACGAAGUAGCUUGGAGAAACAAAUAAUCCCUCUUUUUCAAUUAUUAAGUAGGUGCUUAAAAACCAACAGGGAUGCCAUUAUUUGCUUAAUAAAACAUUGGACUACAUUUACUAUUUAUUAUCACCUUAUUGUGGCUAAUAUCAAUUUGAUGACUGAUUUUGGAAUUCCUCAUUCUGUCAUUGCUAGAUUGAUUCGAUCUAGACCAUUUUUAAUUUGUUCAAAGGAUUUGAUUAAUUCAUUGGAGGAAAUUAAGGGUUUAGGGUUUGAUCCUUCAACGACUACUUUUGGGUAUGCUUUGUUAGCCAAUAACUGUACGAGUAAAAAACUUUGGGAUGAGAAAGUUGAUGUCUUGAAGAAAUGGGGUUGGUCUGAUGAAGAUGUUAUCCGGGCAUUUAGGUGUCAUCCUGAUAUGAUGUUGACUUCAAUUGAAAAGAUUAAUUUGGUGAUGAGUUUUUGGGUCAAUCAAUUGGGUUGGGAUUCAUUGGCACUUACCAAACGGCCACAUAUUUUAACUCAUAGUUUGGAGAAAUGGAUUGUUCCAAGGGGAUUGGUUGUGCAAUUUCUUUUGAUGAAAGGCUUGCGAAAAAAGAAUGCCAGCUUAGUUACACCAUUUAGAUAUUCUGAAAAAUUGUUUUUGGAGAAGUUUGUUUUCAGCUUUAAGGAGGAGUCUGAUUAUCUAUUAAAGAUAUAUGAGGAAAAAAUAAAACUUGCAUAUACAAUGGAAAACAAUGGCAUGCCAUUCCCUAAUUAGGUAAUUUCAUAAUCUUCUUUUGCAAUGUAGCUUUAUCUUGUUAGUAUUAAAAUAUAAGUGCUUAUUCUUUCUAGCCCAAGAUAGAGGAUGAUCUAGCUGUCUUGAUUUAUUUGCUAACCUGGACCAGAGUGCCAUAGCCGGUCACAAUAAUACCUUAUGAUUUAUCCUAUAUGCCUCAUAUCUAGUAGAUAAAGAAAAUCUCGAAUGGUCUUGUAUUUAUUUGGUCAGGAAAUGUUUACUUGUGGUGUUUGUUUUCCUUCCAUGUUUGUUCGGUCAAGAAUCCUUAGAAGUACAAACAAACUAUGUAUGCAAUUCUGCUCAAUUUAAUGAUUGAAACUUUAAGCUUGAGAUUAUUCAGUACUUUGCCUAUUUGCUUUUCUUGUGGCUCUCUAUACAUUAUCUUUUUAAGGAUUUUUCUAUUAUUACUCAUACAACUUUAUGAAACUCGUUGUGUAAUGUGGAAAAAUGCAAAUAAUUUGGGGAAAAUGAAAGUGUAAUUAUGGUUGGGGUGCAAUUGUAAAGAUUUCUCAAACUUCAAUAUUGAAGCUACAGUUAUUAUUGUGGAUUACAUUUAUUUAAUACACUUGCAGUUAGCUUUAUGCAAACAAUAAAUAAAUGUUCUGUAUUUUAUUUUGUCACAUUUUGGUUUUAUUUGUACCUUUUGGCCAACUGUUAUGGAUUAAAAUGCAUUGACAUUUUGUCAGUGUUCUGUAUUUUAUGAGUACAUUAUGUGUUUAACGCCACACAGGCUUGAACACCUUGUUCCUUGGUGUAUUUUGUGGUGAUAUUUUACUCAACUACUUUCGGAUAUUGUCUCUUGUCAUAGACACUUAUAGCCUGGUAGAGUAAUUUCUUGAUAAUGUUAAUUGGAACUUAAUAUUUUGGCGUGUUACUAAUUUUUGGCCUUCAUUUAGUACUACUAAGUAAACCAAUAGCUUACCUCCUAUUUUGUUUACCACUCUCAAAAGGAAUGAUUUGUUUUUUUAUACAAUCACACCUGUAAGGAAGCAGCUUUUGUUCAAUUGGCAAGGAUAUGAUGAAACAAAACUUUGUUGUGUCUGUUUGCUAUGUAUGAAAUGGCUUCUUGAUCAUAAUGCAUUAAUCAGUGCUUUUUUUUCGCUGGCAACGUUCUGUAGUAUCCUUCCUGAAUCCUUUAUAUGAUUUGUUGAAAUUGUAAACUUAGUUUCAAUUUUUGCAUCUUCACACAAUCUCACUUUGUCUUGGAUGCUUCUAGUCUUCAAUUGUUAGAACUAAAAUGAUAACAUGUUCUUGCUGUUGAUUUGGAUUUCUUACAUUUUAUUAAGUUCUUUUUUCUUAAAGGGACAUCAUUUUAUCUUCAGUUGUUCUAUAUUGAUCUUAUCUAGUUUAUAUUCUGUGGUAGACUGUUAGUCAUGCCUCAUGCCCUCUUUUGUUGUCUUGCUAAUAUUAAAACCUAUUCAUUUAUUUUUUAUGUCUGAAAUUCUUAGUCGAGUUUAUAAACUAGUUCUCAUUUAUAUUUCAAGCUAUAAUUUUUAUCCAUCUGUUGCAGUCACCAUUGCUGAUUUUUAAUCUAUUUGCAGGUACUAUGAUGUAGCAGUCAAUGUUACCAAUUGCUUUGCUACAUUGUUAUGAGUUUUCAACUGCCACUUUUCCUUUAUAAUCAGGCAGAGACGAGUAUCAAAUGUCCGUGAUUAUAAUUUGAUGACCAUUCUUGAUUUUGAAAUCUGCUCAGUGAUUCUUUCAUCAACCAUUAUUGCAUUGGAGCCAACUAAUAUGUUAAUUUUGGAAAUAUUUUUCAUUUUUUCACAGAAGCUUGUAGUGUUAGCUUUACUCUGGCUGUAUGCUUGAAUUGAAUGCUAAUGUACUGCAGUUUCAAAUACACUGAAAUUUGUUGUAACUAAUAGAAAAGUGGUCACAAAUCCAACAUAAAUACUUUUCCAGUGGACCUUUUUUUCUUUCUACAUACUCAUAGACAAUAAUCAUUGUGAAUUUUCUUUGCAAAAACCAACUAGUGAAUCAAGAUGGUGAUGGCAAAUUUUGGACAUUCUAAAAGGACCUGUGUGGUUCCAGAGACACUUAUCAUGAUAGUAACCUUCACCUUGAUUCAAAACCAUUACUCACCAGACUCGAUAUUAGACUUUACCAAAAUUGUUUUUUGCUGAUUGUAUUUCAGCAAAAGGGGUUAAGAAACCAAAAUAUCCAUGAGGGGAACUCCCUCCAAACACACCUAAAGGUAUCCAUCCAACACUUUUUCACUAUCCUUUGUUCCUUCUUCCUUGUUAGAAGACGAACACUUGGUUCAUUCUUUUGUUAAUUCUCUCUAGAGUAUUCUGAUUUUGUUUUUAAUUUCUCAAUUUUAUAGGAGGCCAAGGUUCACGAUUAACUUAAACGGCUUACAUUAUAUCGUAAGGGUAAACUACACAAGAGUGUGUUUGGAUGGGGGAAUGUUUUGAGGGAAUGUAAUGUUUUGAGGUAAUUCAACUACUUUGAGGUGAAUUCAAACAAUAGAAUUCACCUUAAAGUAGUUGAAUUCCCUCAAAACAUUCCCCCAUCCAAACACACUCUAAGGGGUCCUCUAAAAAAAAUAUGGUAUAUCCUAAAGGUAAACUAUAUCCUAAGGGAGUUAAUUUAUUUAUAAUAAUUAUAAUUCAUUUCAUUCCGUCAACUUUUCAAACAAUAGGAAGAUUCUAUCAUAGAAUACCUAAACCCAAACAAUGAAAUGAGUUCUAUACUUCAUUCCACUCCAUUUUGCUCGAUUCCACUAUAUUCAAUCCUGAUCGGUUGGUUAUCUUCCAACAAUCCAAAUAAAUUUUGGAUCAAAACUAAAGAAAAAGAUCAGUACUUUAAAACACACACGACACUCGCUGAUCAUCUCAUUGACACAACAUUUUGUUUUUGUAAAAACAGAACCCUAACAUUUGAGUAAAUUUUCAAUCCAUGUUGAAGAAACUGUUUCUCCGCCACAAAUGUAGUAGUUUUAGGUCUCAUCACUGUUACCCUCAGCACUUGUUGUUCCCAAUUUCACAAAUUGAUUCUGGUUAUUUAUUAAAUCUUUAUGAGGAAAACGUAAAUCUUGCAUCCACCAAGGAGAACAUUGACAUGCCAUUCACCAAAUAGGUGACUUCAUAAUCUUGUUUUUGUAAUGUAACAUUAGCUUGUUAGUUCUUAAAUUCUAAUUGGCUAUUCUUUCUAGGCCAGGAUAGGGGAUGGUCUAGCUGAAUUGUUAUAACAAUGCAUUAUGAUUUAUCUUAUGCCUUAUAUCUAGAAAAUAUAAAAAUGCUCACAUGGUUGUAUAUCUCAUUCUAUGUUUGUUCAAUCAAGAAUCCAUAGUAGUAAAAACAAACUAUGUAGCCAGCCCACUCAAUUUAAUGAUUGAAACUUUAAGCUUGAGAUUAUGAAGUGCUUUUGCUUAGCUGAUUUUCCUUUGGUUCCCUACACAUUAUCUUUUUAAGCUGAAAUUUUAAGGAUUUUUCUAUUACCCAUACCAUGUUAUUCAACAGUUUUGCAACCUUCUUGAAUUUUGACCAGACAUGAAUCGCCGAGUUCUUUCAUUUUAUAUUUUGGAGAAUGUUUAACUACUCUUUAGAUAUUUGCAAAAAUGGGAUCUUCUCCCUUUAUGGCGAGCACAGCUGUUGUGUCAGUCAGUCUAGAGAAAAUCUGACUGUCUGCCUUUAUGUAGGAGAGGAAUACAGACCAAGGUGGCUGUUUGAUUGAUUUUGUGCAGAAAUAGCAUUUCCGUCAUAUACUUUCGUCCCCCAACCAUUAUUAGUUGAUUAAUGAUAUCAGAAGUAAUAAUUCUGGUAAUCUGUUGUGGAAAUGAAAGGGAUAUAUUUCUUGGAAUGCUUUUCCAGUUUUUAGCAUGCCUUUGUUUGAUGUCUGGUUGAAGGAUAAUGUAAGUAAGCAAAACAACAAUGUAAUAAUUAGGGCCUUGGGGUGGUCCAACCACCCCAUUGUUUAAGAAUUUGGAAGGCAUUCAAAUAUUUAUAGGUUAGAGGCGAACGAAACUGGUAAUUUGAUAUUAACAUACAUUUAACAUAACAACGAGAAUUAUAGUUAAUCAGUUGUCCAGUUACACCUUGUCUUCUAGAGGCUCUUCCUUGAAAAGUUCUAUCUGAUGGUGAGUUGGAAAUAUUGCUGAAAUAAAAGGGAAACUGGUUGUAUCUGACAGUCAUUAAAUGUUUUCUUAUAAAUGUAAGUUUUUAAGAUUUCAAUGAUAUGCAGUCACUGCAGUUGGAUUGAUAUGUUGGACGUAUCGGACGUUCGAAAUCAGAAAAAUAAAAACCCGACUUUCUUGUCCAAUUUUCUGCUAUUGUCGCGUGAAGGUUCUAUGUAGCACUGGUGUUGGAUCCUAGAUUCCGUGGUGAUGGAGAAGGGGAUUGUGGUCGAAACCCAACUGAGCAUCUCGCGACAAUGAUUCAUGACUUGGCCAUCAACAAUGAUCAUUACAGUGGUGGCCCCGGUGAUACACAACAAGGAUAUACGAUUUCCAACAUCACAAAACUCCAUCUUGGUGCCCGGACAAAAAUGAUGAACAAGAGCACACAAAAAAACUCAUUGGGAUUUGUUUAUUCAUUAAUCCAAAUGAUGGAGCCUUAGCAGAACAGCUCUAAUACAUUUGAAUAUGAUAUUGGCACCAUUAUGCAGCACCUGCUCCAUUGUAAAGACAAAAUUGCAAAAUUUAUAAGCAUCAGUUUUGCUUCACAAAUUGUUUAAUUUCUAAACACACAUUUGAAUAUGUUUAACUUCACAAUUUGUUUGAACUUCAUUAAGUCCAGAAGAUAACGUUCUCGUAGAACUCUAGAUGACCAAGAAACUAAAUAAUAACUAUUGAUUAAUAGUAGUAAGCAUAGUUGAUAGCACAGCAUGUGGGGUUUAUAGCAGCGGCAGUUUCACUGCCCGGCGACCCGGGCAUGCACACAGGCCCCGACCCAAAUUUUUUGCAAUUUCUUAUGUAAUUUCCUCUGAAUUUCUUAUAUAAAUUCCUAUAAAUUAGGCAAUUUCUUUAGAUUUUUUUAUUAUUUUCUUGCAAUUUCUUAUAUAAACACCUAUAAAUGUGUUGCAAAUUUUUUUUGUCUAGGCUUUAUAACAAUCCUGGCUCCGCCACUGGUUUAAAGCAAAGCUUGCAACGAGUUCUCUAUGUCAAUGUUUGUUGUUGGAUUGAAGUCAAGUUGAUGCCACCUUUGUAUGGUUGCGUGCAAGUAAGAGUGUUCCCCAGAAGGGUUGAACCGGCUUUGGCCAAAGCCGUGUUUUGGGUUAGGUAAAAUACUUGUAUUGUUUUUAUGGAAAAUAUGAACCAACCCAACUUUAUGAUGAAUGAGUCGGUUUGGGUUGGAUCAACGACUCACUAGAAAUAACUUAUAACAUGACAUAUUAUUGUCCCAUAUCCGAUUCUCAUAUAAAUAUACUUGUUAUCCUAUCCAUAUCCAACAUUGAUGAAAAAUUGUAUCCCACCUCGUUCCCGACGGGUUCAGAUAUCCCGUCCCCGCAUUGAAUAUUACUUUUUUAAUAAAAAAUAUAAGUUUUUUUUGCAACCCUUAGAGAAAUGUUUUUUUUUUACAGAAAUAAGUUUAUUGCAUUUCAUUGAUUAGAAUGUUAGAAAUACAAGAUGGAAUGUUAGAGUAAAUAUAAAAAUUAGGAUUAGAUGGAGCUUCCUAAGCUAAGUUGUGAGCAGCACCGUUUGCUUGUCUACAAAUGAACUUCAAGUAUGAGUUCGUUAAAUCAAUUGCUAACAUGUGUCUACAAUCAUUAAUAAUGGCCAUAUAAUUUGAGACAUUGUUGCUUCCUCCAUAAACACUAUCAACCCCUUGAGAAAUUGUUGCUUCCUCCAUAAACACUAUCAACCCCUUGAGAAAUGUUGUAAUGCAUUAUCCAGCAAUAUGCUCACUUUAACAUUUGUUAGACUGAUUGAUUUAGUUGCUCCUUUAAAUAUCGUAGUUUUUAUAACACGACAAUUAUCAAACAAAAUAACAUGACAUAUCAACAUAAAGUAAUUUUCUACGUUCGGGACGGAUUUGAGUAUGGAUUCCGAGUGGGUGCCUAUAUACCCGUUACCUGUCUCAUACCCGUGUUUUGAAAUCGGGGAAAACUCCAAUUCAUACCAAAAUUCAGUCAAAACAAGAAAAACUCGUCAAAUUGAAUAUUAAUUUAGGCGGGUAACCACGAGUAUGAGUUUUGUUGUCAUACCUGAUAAUUAUAUAUUCGAUUUGAAAAAACAAAAUGGAAUGGAAUAUAACAAAACUCAUUCCAUCUUAUUCCAUAAAAUCCUCCACGUUUUAUUCCCCCAAUUUGUGGAUUAUCCCAUCUAAUGAAAUUUUAUAAUUAAAAUAUGAGUCUGAUUAACAAGUGUCUAUGGGGCACUUUUAAGGGUUCCAAAAGAAGAAAUUAUUCCUCCCUCAAAAAAAAAAAAACAAGAAGAAAUUAUUCCAUAAAAAGUUAGACAUUGCAAUUUUCAAUGCAUUAAUUACACAAAUUAAAAAAAAGUUAGCAUUUGAAGGCUAGUGUUCCGAGGACACUCGCUAACGUUUCCUUAAAAUAUUACUCCCUCCGUUCCUUUUUAAAUGUCACUUUUGGAGAAAAAUAUUGUUUCAAUUUAACUGUCACUUUCAAAGUUCAAUGCAACAUUAAACGUUGUUUUACCAAUAUUAUCCUUAGUUAUUUAUUGUGGAGAGAGAAAUAUAUAAAAUGAGAUAUUAAAUGAAUAAGGUUAUUAUAGUAAAAGUAUGAAGUAUCGUAUCAAAAGUAGUAAUAUUUAUUGAUUGUAUUGGUUUGUAUAAAAUGUCAAAAAGUGACAAUUAAAAAGGAACGUGGUAGUACUCUAUUACCCUUAAAUUUAGGGUUAAUUAAGUUUUUGGUCCCUAUAAAUAUAUGCAGUUUUGUUUUUAGUCCCUAUAAAAAUAAAUCACAGUUUUUAGUCCCUACAAAAUUUCCUGUUAGUGUUUUUAGUCCCUGUUAAAUUAAAAUUUAUUUAAUUAUGCUUAAACUUCUAAAUUUUUGAAAGAUUUUUUACAUACAUGUUCAUAACAUCGGAAGACACUCUUUUGUAAUUUUUUUUAGUUUUUUAACAUGUAAUGAAUUAAAUAUGAAUUUUUCUAAAAACCAAAUUUUCAAGAUUAUAUUAAUGAAAAUUUGGACAUAAUAAUAAAAUUUAAGUUACUUUUUUGCGGAUGAACUUUGUAUAAUAUUCUAAGUAAGUAUGUGAAAAAUAUGUUACAAAUUUAAAAGUUUAAGCACAAUUAAGCAAAUUUUAAUUUUACAAGGGCUAAAAGUAUGUGUUGGUCCCUGUUAAAUUGAAAUUUGUUUAAUUAUACUUAAACUUUUAUAUUUUUAAAUGAUUUUUAACAGACAUGUUAAGAACAUUAUAAUAAUCUCUUUUAUAAAAAAUUAGAAUUUUUUAACAUGUAAUGAAUUAAAUAUAAUUUUUUUAAAACGCCAAAAAUUCAAGAUAAAACUAAAGAAAAUUUGGACCUAAAAAUAAAAUUUUGAGCUAAUUUAUAAUAAAAGAACAUUUUAUAAUGUUUUAAACAAGUAUGUAAAAAAUCAUUAAAAAAUUUAAAAUUUUAAGCAUAAUUAAACAAAUUUUAAUUUAACAGAGACUAAAAACAUUAACGGAAAAUUUUAUAGGAACUAAAAAGUGUAAUUUAUUUUUAUAGGGAUUAAAAACAAAACUGCAGAGAUAUUUACGGGGACCAAAAUCUUAAUUAACCUUAGAUUUAUAAUCUUACCUUUUCCUAUGCAAUUCCUUUCUUUUGAACUGCAACCUCUCCGACCAUUUGAUUCGAAACCAUCUCACAUUUCCCGACCCAUGUUGAACAAAUGGUUUCUCUCCCAGAAUGUUGUUUUAGGUCUCAACACAACAAAAACAACAACCUCAAAAUUCAACAACCCUCUUUUCAACCAACACUUCUCAUUCCAAAUUUCACUCACAAGAUUCUGCACCACAACAUCUCAAUCUGAAUCAGUCACACAUCCAUUCGCUGCAUCUUAUCUCAUCAACAAUUUUGGGUUCUCACAUGAAUCUGCUCUCAAAGCUUUCAACCUCAAGCAAGUUCGUUUCAAUACCGCAGAUAAACCUGAUUCAGUCAUCACCUUCUUUCAAAAUCAUGGCUUUUCACACGACAACAUACGCAUCAUGAUCAGAAGAGCACCAUGGUUACUUUCAUCACAACCCCACAAAAGGUUUUUGCCAAAGUUUCAAUUUUUUCUAUCCAAUGCUGCUUCUUCCUCUGAUAUUGUUCCAUUGUUAACUACAAACCCUAGAAUUUUACGAAGUAGCCUGGACUUGGAGAAACAAAUAAUCCCUCUUUUUGAAUUAUUAAGUAGGUUCUUGAAAACCAACAAGGAUAUCAUUCUUUGCUUAAUUCGAUAUUGGACUGCAUUUGCUACUAAUCCCUAUCACCUUAUUGUGUCUAAUAUCAAUUUGAUGUCUGAUUUUGGAGUU
rnacentral:lncRNA from 1 species